CCCCAUACUGUUCUCGUGGUAGUGAAUAAGUCUCAGGAGAUCUGGUGGUUUUAUAAGGGGAAACCUCUUUCACUUGGAUCUCAUUCUGCCUUGCCUGCCACCAUGUAAGAUGUCCCUUGCUCUUCCACCAUGAUUGUGAGGCCUCUCCAGCCAUGUGAAACUGUCUGUGUAGGUUUUUUCUGGCUACUCCUGUUUCCUCCCACAUCCCAAAGGUGUGCCUAUGAGGUGAACUGCCAUGUCUACACAUCCCAGUAUGAGUGAGUGCAGGUGGUGUGCACGCGCCCUGCGAUGGGAGUGUGUCCUAUUCAGGGCUGGUUCCCGCCUUGCGCCCUAAGCUUUGGAGAUAGGCUUCGGCCACCCUCAACCCUGAACUGGAAUAAGCAGAAAACCACAUCUGGUCAGGAGCCCAGUGUGUCCCACUUGGACAAGAAUAGAAAUCUCUCUUCUGGAAUAUGGUUUGUCACUCUCAGAUCUUCUCUGGUUGGAGCCAAUGGUUUCUUUCAGACCUGAGAUAUCCUGAUGAAGCAGACCACACCUGCCCUCAGAGAUGACCUCAUGAGGAAGCUGAGCUGCAUAACAAACAUCUCUGCUGCUCAGCCACCUCCACUCUUUUUCAACAGACCUUGGAGAUAGCACAGCACCCACACCAAAAAAUCAGGAAGCUCUCUUAUCAGCAAUCUUUCUGUACCUAUGAAAUCAGACAUUCCAGCCAUGGCAGAACCUCCUGAGUGGGCCAGAGCCUCAGAGUCAGGAAAAGCUGGGGCCUAAUGAUGUUUCAAAUCAAAUCACUCUGUAGGGGAUUUUCCAUUUAACAUAUUGUGAUUGUGCAGUAACAUUAGUCUUUGCCAUUUAAUUUAUUAAAUUUUAAAAUCUUAUAAUAUCCUCAACACCGUCUUUGUCUCGAUUUAUACAUAUAACAUAUACAUUUUUAUUACAUAUUACAAACAAUUGAUAUAUAUGAAGAACUCUGUGUGUUUAAAUGCCAAUCACUGGUACACAGGCUCGAGGAAUGUAAUAUCCAGGAUUCAGUCUAGGAAACCAAAGUAAUUCUAGGUACUUGAUUGAAGAAGGUUUAAUAUUUGGAAUUUAAUGUUUUAAAAAUUAUUGAAGAGGCUGGGCACGGUGGCUCACACCUGUAAUCCCAGCACUUUGGGAGGCUGAGGCUGCCAGGUCAUGAGGUCAAG
rnacentral:lncRNA from 10 species